GUCCCGGCUGGGUCACUGCGGCUUUCUCUCGCUUUCUCUCCCCUCUUCCCCCUCCCUGCCGCGCUCCCUCUCCGCUCUCCGCUCCCCCCUCCCGUUCUCCCAGAGUCGAUCCCGGCUCCGGGCGGCGGGCAGAGGUUCUCCGCAGAGCAGACAAAGCCCGCAGAGGCGAUGCGUGGAGAACACGGCUCUGCGCGCUGGGGGGUGGGGGUGGGGGGCCGGGAUGGGGUGCCGGGUUGGAGGGUGGGACCCCCUGGCAAAAGACGGGGUCCCCUCUUCCCCAAGCGGCAAGCCAUCCCCCUUCCUCCCUUCCCUCCCCCCAGUCUCGGAGAUCAGAGAAGCACCGACUGGGAGGGUGGACCCAUGGGGCCUGCAGUCACUCUGGCCGACCCUUCGACCCUCAAGAACCUCCAUCAGCGCCAGGGAGCCUGGGCUCGGAACCGCCUCUGCCCCAGCAGCGCCCUCUUUGUGCCCUUCCCUCCCCUUCCUGCGCCCCAAUUUCCAGAGGGUCUAAACACACUGACCCCCAAAGAGAAGCCCUGCAGAGCAGAGACCUCACCCUGAGAAGGAGCUCUUGAUCUUGGCAGAGACGCUGCCGAGCCACCUGCCCCACCUGGCAGCCCAACCACUUCUCCAGAAAGAACCCUUUGCUCGGUCCACCCACCAGGAAAUCUGCAGAUUAACAC
ensembl:lncRNA